GUCUCCUGAAGGAACGUUGAAGACGACGACGUUGAUAGGCCGGGUGUGUAAGCGCAACGAUGCGUUGAGCUAACCGGUACUAAUGAACCGUGAGGCUUAACCUUACAACGCCGAAG
rnacentral:rRNA from 1 species